rnacentral:lncRNA from 1 species
GUUCAGUGUCUGAAGGCAGCAGAGACGCUGGUGGUCGUCUCCUCUCUUAUUGGACUGUUCUCCAUUAUUCUGAUCAUUUGUAGGCGGUCUUUGGGUGAUUUCUGCACAGAGGACAUCAGAGUGAAGGUGGCAGAGCUACGAUGAUUCCUGGAAUGGAUUUUGGUUUUCUUCUGCCUUCGGGAUUAUUGUUCAUUUGAAAAAAAAUAUUUUUGUUUUGAGAGAAUGGAGGGAAAUGUGACGCCUUUGCCUCAAAACGAGCAUAGGCUGAGUUCUGCUCCACAAAGUGUUUGUUUCAGCGGAGCCGGACCUUCACAGUAAUGGACUGUCCAGCCUCUGAACCAACAUCCUCUUCUA